rnacentral:tRNA from 1 species
GGGAUUGUGGCUCAGCGGUAGAGUAUUUGCCUAGCAGGUACAAGGCCCUGAGUUCGAUCCUCAGCACCA